UACGUAGGUGACAAGCGUUGUCCGGAUUUACUGGGCGUAAAGCGUGCGCAGGCGGUUGUGCAAGACAGAUGUGAAAUCCCGAGGCUUAACCUCGGAACUGCGUCUGAAACUACUCGACUAGAGUAUUGGAGAGGGUAACGGAAUUCACGGUGUAGCAGUGAAAUGCGUAGAUAUCGUGAGGAACACCAGAGGCGAAGGCGGUUACCUGGACAAUUACUGACGCUCAGGCACGAAAGCAUGGGGAGCAAACAGG
rnacentral:rRNA from 1 species